GCAACACGGCAUUGCCCUAGUAACGGCGAGUGAAGCGGCAACAGCUCAAAUUUGAAAUCUGGCCCUCGGGUCCGAGUUGUAAUUUGUAGAGGAUGCUUUUGGUGAGGUGCCUUCCGAGUUCCCUGGAACGGGACGCCAUAGAGGGUGAGAGCCCCGUCUGGUUGGACACCGAUCCUCUGUAAAGCUCCUUCGACGAGUCGAGUAGUUUGGGAAUGCUGCUCUAAAUGGGAGGUAUAUGUCUUCUAAAGCUAAAUACCGGCCAGAGACCGAUAGCGCACAAGUAGAGUGAUCGAAAGAUGAAAAGCACUUUGAAAAGAGGGUUAAACAGUACGUGAAAUUGUUGAAAGGGAAGCGCUUGUGACCAGACUUGGGCCCGGUUAAUCAUCCAGUGUUCUCACUGGUGCACUUGGCCGGCUCAGGCCAGCAUCAGUUCGGCGCGGGGGAUAAAGGCUUCGGGAAUGUGGCUCCUCCGGGAGUGUUAUAGCCCGUUGUGUAAUACCCUGCGCUGGACUGAGGUUCGCGCAUCUGCAAGGAUGCUGGCGUAAUGGUCAUCAGCGACCCUUGUAAAAAACCCGGGGGUGGGGGGAAAAAACCCCACGCCGGCCCCCCGGCAAAUUCGCGAACCUCA
rnacentral:rRNA from 1 species